GAUGAACGCUGGCGGCGUGCUUAACACAUGCAAGUCGAACGGAAAGGCCCAAGCUUGCUUGGGUACUCGAGUGGCGAACGGGUGAGUAACACGUGGGUGAUCUGCCCUGCACUUCGGGAUAAGCCUGGGAAACUGGGUCUAAUACCGGAUAGGACGAUGGGUUGGAUGCCAUUGUGGAAAGUUUUUUCGGGGUGGGAUGGGCUCGCGGCCUAUCAGCUUGUUGGUGGGGUAAUGGCCUACCAAGGCGUCGACGGGUAGCCGGCCUGGGAGAGGGUACGGCCACAUUGGGACUGGGAUACGGCCCAGACUCCUACGGGAGGCAGCAGGGGGGAAUAUUGCACAAUGGGCGCGAGCCUGAUGCAGCGACGCCGCGUGGGGGAUGACGGGCUUCGGGUUGUAAACUCCUUUCGCUAGGGACGAAGCGUUUUGUGACGGUACCGGGAGAAGAAGCACCGGCUAACUACGUG
rnacentral:rRNA from 1 species